GGGCAGGUGGUGCAACUGGAUAGACACGUACGGCUUAGGACCGUAUGCCGCAAGGUAUGAGGGUUCAACUCCCUCCCUGCCCA
rnacentral:tRNA from 1 species